rnacentral:rRNA from 1 species
GAUGAACGCUAGCGGCAGGCCUAAUACAUGCAAGCCGAACGGCAAGUCUGAUAGCAAUAUUGGACCUAGAGUGGCGUAAGGGUGCGUAACACGUAUGCAAUCUACCCGCAACAGGAGGAUAGCUCCCCGAAAGGGGAAUUAAUACUCCAUAAGAUCACACGAAGGCAUCUGAGAGUGAUUAAACUACAAGGGGUUGCGGAUGAGCAUGCGUUUGAUUAGUUAGUUGGUGAGGUAACGGCUCACCAAGACGAUGAUCAAUAGGGGAACUGAGAGGUUGAUCCCCCACACUGGCACUGAGAUACGGGCCAGACUCCUACGGGAGGCAGCAGUAGGGAAUAUUGGUCAAUGGGUGAGAGCCUGAACCAGCCAUGCCGCGUGCAGGAAGAAGGCCUUCUGGGUUGUAAACUGCUUUUGCCAGGGGAUAAAUAGCUUUGCGAAGCAAAUUGAAGGUACCUGGUGAAUAAGCCACGGCUAACUACGUG